GCCGCCAAUGUGUUCCCCAAUACAUCUGUAACGGCGCGGUGCCUACUGCGUGUAUGCACAGAGCCCUGCCUUCGGUUCCCCAGCGACUGCAUAAACCAGGUUGCUGGCUGUGGCACACACCUGCAGUUCCAGUGCUCAGGAGGUACCUAGUUCCUUGCUGGGUGCCAUAGCAGUAAACCUCCCUGGGCCUCUGACGGAUUUUACCAGGACGGCAGGGAGCCGUAGAUCCCUCCUUCCCAGCCAUGCCUACCAAGUUCCUCAUUUCAGCAAGUGUUGCUCUGAAUAAUCAACACGCCAUGCUUCUCCCUCGUCAGACCUCACCACCUGGGACGCUUCCCCUGACACAGACACUUGGUGUGUGCAGGCCGGCCUCCAACACACCCUGACUUGUGGUUCUUUCACUGUGUCUGGAGCGCACUGAUUUAGCUAAACUGGCUGAUCAGCAAAGUCCUGGGGAUUCUCUUGUCUAUGCCUCCAGCACUGGGAUCAUAGAUGUAAGCCAUCAUACCCGCUUCUUAGACCCAGAAUCCUGCAGUUAUUCCGUCCGUGAGGAUGGACGUCUCAACUGGAUUUCAGUCUACGUUGGCUUCCUGAAGAAGCAUCAGCAAAGGAGCACAGCAGCACCGGGAUCGAUGAGCCUGCCACAGAGGACAAGCAGGCAAAGGC
rnacentral:lncRNA from 1 species